AACGAACGCUGGCGGCAGGCUUAACACAUGCAAGUCGAGCGCCCCGCAAGGGGAGCGGCAGACGGGUGAGUAACGCGUGGGAACGUACCUUUUGGUUCGGAACAACUCCGGGAAACUGGAGCUAAUACCGGAUAAGCCCUAACGGGGAAAGAUUUAUCGCCGAAAGAUCGGCCCGCGUCUGAUUAGCUAGUUGGUGAGGUAACGGCUCACCAAGGCGACGAUCAGUAGCUGGUCUGAGAGGAUGCUCAGCCACACUGGGACUGAGACACGGCCCAGACUCCUGCGGGAGGCGGGGGUGGGGAAUAUUGGAGAAGGGGCGCAAUCCUGAUCCAGCCAUGCCGCGAGAAUGAUGAAGGCCUUAGGGUUGGAAAGCACUUUUGUCCGGGAAGAUAAUGACUGUACCGGAAGAAUAAGCCCCGGCUAACUUCGUG
rnacentral:rRNA from 1 species